rnacentral:rRNA from 1 species
GACGAACGCUGGCGGCGUGCCUAAUACAUGCAAGUAGAACGCAGGUACGAACGGGUGAGUAACGGGUAGGUAACCUGUCUCGUAGCGGGGGAUAGAUAUUGGGAACGAUAGCUACUACCGCAUACUGUAAGAGGAAACUGCGUUGGUUUUGGUAGUUGGGGAGGUAAAGGCUCACCAAGGCGACGAGACAUAGCCGACCUGAGAGGGUGAACCGCCAAACUGGGAAUGAGAAACGGCCCAUACUCCUUCGGGAGGCAGCCGUAGGGAAACUUCGGCAAUGGACGGAAGUCUGACCGAGGAACGCCCCGUGAGUGAAGAAGGUUUUCGGAUCGUAAAGCGCCGUUUUGCGAGAAGCGGUACCUAAAGAGAAAGCGACGGCUAACUACGUGCCAGCAGCCGCGGUAAUAC